GAUAUGAUUAACUAAAUUAUACGGAGUAUCAACUUAAAUAAUCCUAAAAAUCUUGCCAAAAAAAAAAAAUUAAAAGUCCUAAAGAUAUUAUUUUCCUAAUUUCAAUAUGAAAAUUAAAUGAGACAAAUAUAUUUUUCGAAAUGGAUUAUACCUCAUAUCUCUACCAAAUGAGUACAUGGGAUAAUAUAUAAGGGCCGAAGGGGUCAAGGCUUCAAGAAAGUACAUCAUUAGGUACCAAAAUAAAUUUCGUUGAGCAAACCUUCAACCAUAUCACAUAACACAAGGAAGAAUUAAAAUUAUCCAAACCCCACAUAAUAAACUGCGACAAAUUUGUUGAUUUUCUCUCUUUAAAUGUUGGGAAGCUGAGGAUAUAUUAUCGACAAAGUAAUUAACGUAUCAGCAGUCAAUCAAGGUAUUGAGGAAAUAAGAGAAAUGGAUUUUGAAAGUUUUUCCCAACAACCAAGAGAAUUGGAAAGAGUGCAAAAAGAGCAUGAUGAAAAAACUAAAAGGAUUGAAGAGUUAAAGAGCCAAAUCAAUGACGCGAAGCGCGAAUUAGAGAAGAACAAGAAGGAAGAAGAUGUCAAGAAAAGGGAGAGCUUCAAGUGUCUUACUCAAAAUUACAACCAGCUGAGGCAAGAAUUUGAUAAGAUGUGAUUUACUAAGACAUGUGGAGUAAUAAACUUAAUUAGGUUUCUAGAUUGGGAUUAAAUAAUAAGAAGCUAAUGCUAGUUAAUCAAGGAUCAAUUCAGAGAUGAUUGAUACUUGAUUAUUCGUGUUUAAGAUUAGUGUAGUAGUAUAUGUAGUUAGGUUUAUCAAUGCUCAUAUUUACUCGUAUGUAAUAAACUAUGCAUAUUGUGCUUGCUUUGAAUAAGAUUAUGUGACCUUAAUUUGGGUGCAAAAUAAUGUGACGUUGAUUUAGGUGCAAAAA